UACAGAGGGGGCAAGCGUUGUUCGGAAUUACUGGGCGUAAAGGGCGCGUAGGCGGCCUGCUAAGUCGAACGUGAAAUCCCUGGGCUCAACCCAGGAACUGCGUCCGAUACUGGCAGGCUUGAAUCCAGGAGAGGGAUGCGGAAUUCCAGGUGUAGCGGUGAAAUGCGUAGAUAUCUGGAGGAACACCGGUGGCGAAGGCGGCAUCCUGGACCGGCAUUGACGCUGAGGCGCGAAAGCUAGGGGAGCAAACGGG
rnacentral:rRNA from 1 species